rnacentral:tRNA from 1 species
CGGGGCGUAGCGCAGCCUGGUAGCGCACCACGCUGGGGGUGUGGUGGUCGCGAGUUCGAAUCUCGCCGCCCCGA